rnacentral:rRNA from 1 species
CGGAUUAGGCAUGCAAGUCGAGCGCUCAUAGCAAUAUGGGAGCGGCGAACGGCGUAGUAAUGCAUCGGAACGUACCCUCUGACGGGGAUAGCCACGGGAAACUGUGGGUAAUACCCGAUAAUCUCUGCGGAGCAAAGGUGUGAUUCCGCCGGAGGAGCGGCUGAUGUGAUAUUAGCUAGUUGGUGGGGUAAAGGCCUACCAAGGCGAUGAUGUCUAGGGGGUGUGAGAGCAUGGCCCCCACGACCGGAACUGAGAUACUGUCCGGACACCUACGGGUGGCUGCAGUCGAGAAUCUUCGGCAAUGGGCGCAAGCCUGACCGAGCGACGCCGCGUGGAGGAUGAAGGCCUUCGGGUUGUAAACCGCUUUGGUCCGAAAGAAAGGGUAAAACUUGAUCGAUCGGAGAAACAAGGACGGGCUAAGUUCGUGCCAGCAGCCGCGGUAAUA